rnacentral:rRNA from 1 species
UAAGUUGGAUGUGAAAUCCCCGGGCUCAACCUGGGAACUGCAUUUGUGACUGUAUAGCUAGAGUACGGCAGAGGGGGAUGGAAUUCCGCGUGUAGCAGUGAAAUGCGUAGAUAUGCGGAGGAACACCGAUGGCGAAGGCAAUCCCCUGGGCCUGUACUGACGCUCAUGCACGAAAGCGUGGGGAGCAAACAGGAUUAGAUACCCUGGAGUCCAUGCCGUAAACGAUGUCUACUAGCCGUUGGGGUC